GUCCUCUGCCUCGUAUGGAUACCUAUAGAGGCCGGACGUGUGUGCGGCUUCAAGCGAACCUUCAUCAAAUACCACGAUCAUCAAUUUGCGGUGAUCAUCUACCUUCCUAAUCAUGUAAAAAAUAUUUAAUCCUAAUCUAUCUACGAACGGUGCUUUAAAAUAUGUUCAUGCGAUGAACGGGAUCUUCCGCACGCCUUCCGCUGCAUUCUGAAUUUUUCUACAGCGUGCGAGGGAUUCCAACAGUGGUAUCAGAGCCAUGGUUGCGUAGAUUAAGAUUAGGAUUAAUCAUUAAAGGCAUAUUAGAUCUGAAAAUUUAAAGAUUAUGCUUGCUGAAAUUUUCUGCAUGCAGAAUUUUAGGUUGCUGAUUUUUCUGCAUGCUGAUUUUUGUAUGCGUAGAUUAAUAAUUCUAUAGUUUUGUUAAUAUGAUUACAAAUGUUUAGAAUCAUAUCUUACAUGAUCAGCAACUCAUGAGAUAACAUAAUCAGUUAAGUUUUAGAUCUGUAAAUUAUAUUUAUGCAUUAGAUGCGUAUGGUGAUGAUCAUGGAUGAACCCUUGUGAAUGUACUGAAAUGUUCUGUGAUGUCUGUGAUGUUAUGAGAUGGCAUGUAAUUCAGAUUUUCAGAUGCCUGCGUGUAUCUUAAAUUAUGUAUUAGAGACCUGCGUGUCUAAUGAAAAAGGGUUGUAAUUAUUUUUUUAUUUUAAAUUUAUCUGGGAUGUAAUCUGUGAUGUGUUUGCACGUCAAU
rnacentral:lncRNA from 1 species